rnacentral:rRNA from 1 species
GAUGAACGCUAGCGGCAGGCUUAAUACAUGCAAGUCGUGGGGCAGCACAGUAUAGCAAUAUAUGGGUGGCGACCGGCAAACGGGUGCGGAACACGUACGCAACCUUCCUACAGGCGGGGAAUAGCCCAGAGAAAUUUGGAUUAAUACCCCAUAAAAUUUGAGAUGGCAUCAUCUUAUUAUUAAAGAUUUAUCACCUGAAGAUGGGCGUGCGGCUGAUUAGGUAGNGGUCGGGGUAACGGCCCACCAAGCCUACGAUCAGUAGCUGAUGUGAGAGCAUGAUCAGCACACGGGCACUGAGACACGGGCCCGACUCUACGGGAGGCAGCAGUAAGGAAUAUUGGUCAAUGGACGCAAGUCUGAACCAGCCAUGCCGCGUGG